rnacentral:misc_RNA from 1 species
ACUUUCACGUUGUGUGUGUUUUGAUGUGUAGGAGGAUUGCUUCCGCCGAGUGCGACAUGAACGGUCGAUAGUUCGUGAGAUCGGCAGAAGAAGGAAGCUUCAUACACAAACUAUGCCUGCCUGAGAGGUAUAUCAUAAGUCAAGGCGCGAAAUCAGCAAUGUUUGAAAAUCAGGGGUCUACCUGGAUUCUGUGAAAGUGUUUGUGUGUACAAUAUGGCGUCAUGAGGUUUACGUUUAGAAAGAUAGCGUAUGCCGUUUUGGGGCUGUAUUUUUUGGUAACGUGUUACACCGGAUUUGUCCUGUUUCGGCGGAGACUAUAUACAGCUUACACAACUAACAAGGAGCGGAUUAUUCUCGAAAAGAUUCAGAGUUUGAGAGAAAUUUCUGAUGAUGAGAAUUGGAAUCCAUGGGGUGAAGAGUUUGAAAAUGAAAACAGUUUUAUCCAACACCAUGAACCCCCUAAAAUUCUAUGGGAGAUGGAACAUUCUCUUGGCCGGAGUCCUUUAGACAGCAAAGACAACAGUACAGAAGAGUUCAUUGUUGAAGUAUGGGGUAAAGCAGCAAUCGGCAUCUACCUGUGGGAGCAUGUCCUGGGAGGACUCAUUGAGAAGAAGAUGGGAGGUGUGUGGAGCUAUGGAGUCAAGAAGAUUCACAGUAUCAAGUUCAGGCUGAGGACAGGCCCUGGCGUCAUCCCCAGCAAGGUGCCCCGGAACACAGAGAAUCUCCUGCUGAUACUAAAUGGACGGGAACCCUCCAAAAUAGACUUCGCUAAACUCUGGCUAGACUUCCUGCCAGCAUUACCCUAUUUGAAAAACGUGGCUGUCGUAAUAUUGGGAAACGAGCAGUGUAAUAACGAUUGGCUCAAGUCCUACAUGCAGAUUAGAGGAGGACCAAUCAAAUUUGCAUUCCUCGUGUACGACAGUCCUGACAUCGACAACGUCAACUUCUAUCAGUGGCCCCUUGGUGUUGCUACGUAUCGAGACUUCCCCAAAGUGGACACAGCCCACCUACCUCUGACGAUGCACAGGAAAUAUUUGUGCAACUUUAUGGGGACAAUAUACAGAAACUCCAGUCGAGAAACCCUGCUGAAUGUCCUGGAGAGAAAUAACUUAAAGUCAUCCUGCUAUGUGAAGCCCAGGAAGGAAUGGAUGCCCCAAGAGACAGACACAACUCGGGAGGAAUACAUGCGAGCUCUGGCCCAGAGUGAUCUCACCCUCAACCCUGUCGGGAUCAACACCGAAUGUUACCGCAUUUAUGAGGCGUUAUCCUACGGUUCACUUCCUGUUGUGGAGGAUGUGAUGACUCCAGGGAAUUGUGGGUCAUCCAGUGCUUCCCUUGUUGCUCCUCUGCGCUUGCUCAAAGAGUAUAACGCACCCAUUGUAUAUAUGAGAGACUGGAAUCAGAUCGCAGACAUUUUAGACCAAGAGGCGAAAAUGCCUCAUGAAGAUAAAGUUAAAAGAAGACAAAAGCUGAUUCAGUGGUAUGAAAAUUUCAAAUCUCUUAUGAGAGAACGACUUGUACGAAUAUUAGAAGAAAGAUUUUUCAAUAUCAAACGGUAACGAUAACAGUGCCAUAAGAUCUAGAAUUUUAUCAAAUUGUAGAUAGAGUGUGGAACAGCAAUACCAAAGUCUUUCAGUAUUCAUCCUUCGAUGACAGAGUUUUAUUUCAAAUGUGGAUUGUCUGCCCUUUGGCCUGCUCUGGUUUCAAAAAUUGAAAUGUUCAAGUCAGAGCAAGUUUUGAGGUGGGCAAGCCUGGUUAUAUCAACAACAGUAAUGCCUAUCUUACUAGGGACAUCUUGCAGGUCGAAAUAUGAUGGGAAAUUAAAAUGGAGAAACUUCGUGGCAUCGAGGAUGCUUUGCUAAGGGACGGGUCAUUUAUUGUAGGGGAGGGUGGGUCUGCGGGCAAUACAAAUCGUCAAGGUUAGAAUCUGGGUUAGUAUUGAUCUUCAGCAACCCAUGCUUGUCGUAAGAGGCGACUAACGGGAUUGGGUGGUCAGGCUCGCUGACGUGGUUGAUGCAUGAUGAUCGUAUUCCAGUUGUGUAGAAUGAUGAGUCCAGAUUCGAUUAUUUACAGACCAUUGUCAUAAUAAUAAUGCCGAGUAAGACUUUAAAGAAACAAACAAACCUAAAAAAUAAUACACCUAUUUGGGGAGAGUCAUGUAAAAAAUGGACAUUUUAUGAUAAAGAUAACAUGCAUUUGCAUUUCAGGGAGGGUCAUGAAAAAAUUGUACAAGGACAUGGGGAGGGUCAUCCAAAAAUAUGAAAAGCAAUUGCUGAGGAUCAUUAUUUUCAGUACAUCAGUGCAUCUAAAACCUAUGACAACCCCCCCACCACCUCUCUCCCACCCCUGUAAUAAAUGACCGGUACCAAACUCAAAACAUCUUUGGACUCGAAUAGAAGACCUUUGUCAAAAAUGUUUUUCUUUAGCCUUGGGAAGUUAAAGUAAUUAGAUUUGAACUCUUGUCUUAAAAACUUGAAACACCCAUGUUUUUUAUUUUGGAAUGUGUUUUUGCAAAACAUGUUUCUGUCAUCACAUAUCAAGGGAGGUAAACUCCAGGACUUUGUUCUCACAGAAUAACUGUGUCUCAUUACUUGUUGAUCAAAUCAUGUUGAUAGAUAUAAGGUGCUACGUGUAACUAAAUGCCAAACGCUGAAGACAUUGUGAGGAUGAGAUAGAAAUCUCUUUAUCUGUGUUAUGUCAAUCACUCAAUCUUGUUAUGUGCUUUCACAGUUAGCUGUACAUGGAUCUAUGACCAAUGUGAAAGAAAGUAUGGAGUUACGAACUGGAUGCCUCUUUACUUGUUUUUCUGUGUUUAUGAAGCUCUAUGUUGUGGGGCCUUGGCAUGCAGAUACUAGAGGGAAGAGUGUUGACUGGGUUCAGUCUUCGUGUUACAGUUUAAUAGAUGUAUUUAGGCCGUAUGCUCAUUGCAGUGUCACCUUAGUGGCACUCCUGCUGUUUGGUGCCCAGAGGGGAACGAUGCUGACAUGCUGUUACAUGAGGGUCAUGGAGACGAUGCCUUGUGUUUGUGUUUGUCGUAAGCACUCAUUGAUUAUGAAAUGAUAUCUUUUGACUAUAUUGUAAAUACACAGAAGAAAUCAAAUUGAAUUAUGUUUGAAUUACAUAUCAAUUAUAAAAUGAAUCAAAGGAAAUCUCAUUACUAUAUGUGAGGGGGUCUUCAGAAAGACAUGUUUUUAUUCUUCCUCAAGUGUCGGUCUUGUGCCAAAUCCUUGUGUGCAAAUGUUUUGGGACCAGGACGAAGAGAAAUUGUUACAGGACCUAUCUUACAAUGUAAGGUGAGAAUCUCAAGUGUAUGUGUGUCUAUGCCACUCAACAAUUGGAAUGUCCGAUGUUUAUGUCAGUUGUUAAAGAUGAAAGUGUUUUAGUGAUUCCCGUUGACUACUGCUAUACGGAUGUUGUUGUAGAUGCCGUAAUGAAAUGUGGCAGAGCAUAUCACUGGGGAGGAGCUGGGGACUUUUAGAGAUUGUUAACGCAGUUGAACUUGUCAGUAUACAUGAAUGUUAAUUAGCGGAUCUGUGACGAGGGUUGUUUUCCUUUGUUGUAAUUUGUAGCGAGUUGUGGAGCCAGGGGAAUGGCAUCUGUAGGAUCAACUUUAUACCCUUAGCCGUGUUUGACAGUGACUGGAAUUUGUUAGUCGUCUAGAGGACCUGUAGUUACAGGGGUAGAAACUAACAGUUUUCGUCCACUAGUCCUUAUAAUGAUAACAAGUAGCAAAAGCCUUAUAAAGGGCAAAUUUCUACUGGUCCUUAUGAUACCUUAAACAUUGGGCAGUUUGGCAAGGACUACAGGAAUAGUGCCAGUUUCUAACUCUGAGUUAGAAAUAAAUACUAGUCCUCCAGAUAUCUAGAAACUCUACUGGUCCUGUUGGUCCUGGUGGAUCUCAAGUGGUCAUGACCACAAAGUGUAAAUGAUAAUUGACAUCUCCCUUGCAAGAUUACUGACAGGGCUGUGAUUUUGCACCUGAUGUUCAUUUCAAAUUAGAGAAAUGCUCCCUGAAUAACACUCGUCAGUUGGAACAUGAUUUGGUUCAUUCCACAGGUGCUUGAGGCACACAUGCCACACGUUAUGCCAACAUGGUGUCACGCACUGCGUGGGGUGGUCUUUCCUUGUGUUCGGUACAAUGGUGUCACUGUUAGGGGCCUUGAACUGUCCAAUCUCUGAGUCAGGGAGAUCCUAUCAAGUCUAAGGUCACAUGAAUUUUUACAAUAAUAUAUAUGAAAACUGCUUUAUAAUGAUUGGUAUGUUAAUAGUUAUUGUCACAUAAGUUAAUGUUAGUGAUAAUAACUCGCUGUACCACAUGUUGGUUAUUUUGCAUUGCAAGAAUGUGGGUAGAGGUUUGUUGUCUUUGCCGAGUUAGUUCAGUAUUCCACACACUACAUACAUAUGCUGCUUCAGACCAACUAUUGCUUACCUUCACCAGUGGAAUUAUGUCUGUAGCCAUUUGUUUUUAGAUGGAGCACCUACUGACAGAGGUAUUUUGUGCAGGCGUUAUGGACAAGGGGAAAUAACUCGAACUGUAAACCUACAUUAAUGGUGACUCACAAUACAUCAGUUUAUCCAGACUGGCUAGUUUGAUUUUUUUCCCCUCAAACAUAAGAAAAAUUAUAAGGAUAACCAGUUUGUAUAUUUAAGUUCAAUACAAUCUUUGGUCAUUAUUUACCAAGUUGGAUGACAUGGAAUUAACUUCAGGCACAGGACACUGAUAUCAAAGACACCCAACACAUUUGUGUCAAAGUUCUGAUCCUCUGUGAGCUCUGCCUCUUCUGUUCGUUUCUUCAUAGUCAUCCCUGUCAAUAUCUCAGAUUUCACCUUCUCAGAAAAUAUAUUAAACCAGAUUCCUACAUCCAGAGUGUCUGUGUACUGAGAAUGAUCCAACAAACACCAUCUGAUGUUUCAUUUGUUGCGAUUGUUGGCCUGUGUUGCAAGUCUUUGUACAUGUAUAUAUAUUGAUGUAUUUAAGUCUAUACAGAUUUACCUAUAGUUAUUCCUAUUUAUGCAGUUUAGAUUUACAGCUGUAUUGUCUCUGUAUAUUUUAUGAUUUUGUAAUUUCAGAUCCAAAUCACAUGGAAUAUAAUCAAGUAUCAUAUCCCCUGAUCAAAAUGAAUGUUUGUUUCUGCCUGUAUAAAUAUAGAGACCACAUUUCCAUUACAGAUUAUGUUAGUGAACCUGUACCCAUUCAUUAGUCUUCUUACUGGACUGACAGACAUCAUAACAGGCGGACUGGCCAGGGAAGUCGACAAAAGGGCCUAGAUACAUACUACUCAAUAUAAGUUAGGGAACACCUGAUUCUUUUUUAUUGCUGUAACUAACCUGUCAUGAUAGAUUAACUAUACAUGUAGUAAUAUGAAAGAACUGGGCAUUCUUUAACUUCUUUUGAGUAAUAUAUAUGCUAUUAAACUUUUGCCCAUACCUUCCUUGUGUUACAGUGCUGUUGGGUGGCCCAGUGGGUAAAGCAGCUGAGUAUUGGUUCUCUUCCCAAAUACUUGGAGAAACCUGCAUAUAAUAUUCAGCACUAUUGAAGCAGUGUAAGAUGAAUUCAUCCUUGCAGCUGCUUGAAGCAUGUCAUGGAUAAUUGGUGAACAGAUAUUGUGAUUUGUUCCAUAUGGUUCAUAAUCUUUUAAAUAUUGUAUAAAAUGUUUUAGGUAAGCUCAUUAUCUGGACAAGGAACUUAUCCUCUGUUCACCUCAGGAAUGGACUCCAUGUGGUGAGGUUUGUGUGAGUGUUGAGGCGAGAAUGUCAGUAGCAGCGCCUGUAGUACUUGUAAAGAGGAAACCAGGUCUGGUAGCUCCAUGGACGCGUUGGGAGCCUAGUGCUAUGGCGAGAACCAGGUCUGGUAGCUCCACAGACAUGCCAGGUUCCUAGUGCUAUGGCUAGAACCAGGUCUGGUAGCUCCAUGGACAUGCCAGGUUCCUAGUGCUAUGGCUAGAACCAGGUCUGGUAGCUCCAUGGACAUGCCAGGUUCCUAGUGCUAUGGCUAGAACCAGGUCUGGUAGCACCAUGGACAUGCCAGGUUCCUAGUGCUAUGGCUAGAACCAGGUCUGGUAGCUCCAUGGACAUGCCAGGUUCCUAGUGCUAUGGCUAGAACCAGGUCUGGUAGCUCCAUGGACAUGCCAGGUUCCUAGUGCUAUGGCUAGAACCAGGUCUGGUAGCUCCAUGGACAUGCUGGGAGCCUAGUGCUAUGGCUAGAACCAGGUCUGGUAGCACAGAAAAAUAACAAUAAGAUAUUCUAGUCUCCAGAUAUUAGUUUAUCAUUAAGCUUGUUAGCACAGCAUCUCAAUUUUAACAAAUCUACGUUUAUGUCCUUAUUCCGGGUUCUAGUUAAUAGGACAUACUUACUGAUGUGAACAGAUAUCACAUUAUUUUACUGCAUUUGGUUGGCUUUCAUUGGUUUAGUCAUUGUAAUGUUUCACAGCCGACAUGAAUUAUGCUGCUCCAAAUUCAAGGACAAAUGCUCUUUUUUUAGUUUUUCCUGUUUAAGGCAAUAGUUUUGUUGUUAUUGUUAUGAACGUUUUGAUAAGGUAGGAAUUGCAAUUUGUAGACGAAAGACCAAGCUACUUUGGUUGGGUUGUUUUCACUCAGUGGCAGACUGUCUGGUUCACCUGGAUGCUGCCUAUUGUGUGUGGUAUUUUGAUGAGAUCAAACUAUGGUAAACAGCUGCAGAAUUGUAUUAAGUAUUUUGUUGUCAUGGGAAUAAAUUGUUUCUUUUAAAAA